ensembl:lncRNA
GUUUUAAAAAAUGUGUGUUGUAUGUUGACUGGAAUGGCAAUAAAUCACUUAGUAAGAUUUGGAACCUAGUGGAGAAGUGUCUGUUCUCUGUGAUAUUGAAGAAUCUAAAAGAGGCCAACAGUGGAGUUUGCACUGGACUACUAGUGUAGCAACGCUUCAAGGACAAACCACUGUUUGAAUACAAGGUCACAGUUCAUGGUGAGUCUAAUAAUAAUACAGUUUAGUCCUUUUUAUUCGCCCAAAUAAUGGUUUUGUCCCAGGGACCAAAGAUGAAAAGCAUCCAUUACAACAUACUCACAUGAAUAUAAAUAAGUACUUUAAAGAGGUGCACGUCCUCUGGCUCACAUCCACUUGUGGUGUCCAGAGUUUGUAGAUCUCACGAUACCGGCAUGCGCAGCCACCAGGUUCUAUUUAGCACCUGCAGGGACCAUUAUGGAGCAACAUGCAGUAGCUGAAGUAACUCAUCUUAAAGGGAUUAAUCAUUUAAAGAAUAUAGUGGUAAUACCAAUUAGACAGUCUUUUAAAGAAGCUUGCAGAAUAAGUUGAAAUGAAUAAUUGUACUUUGUUACUUAGAUGAACUUUUAUGUGUAAAUGAGCCUCCUUGACAAAGGGCAGAACUCAAUCUCUCUUUACAGGUUCAGAUCUCAAGCAGUCAGACAGCUCAGAGAGGAAGUUCAAAAGGAGUCUGAUGACGAGCAGCUGUGUGCAAACGCCUCCGAGCUUCUUUAAAUAAGAGGCCAGCUGUUAGUUUAUUGUGGAGCAGAACGCAGGUUGUUGCAGCGUCUGGUCGAAGACUCCGUCAUGUCUCUCUUUGUGAUUCUCGCCCUGCUCGUCUGCAUUGAGGCUCAAGAGCCCAUUGUGACGCCUUUGUUUGUGCAGAAGGGACAUGAUCUGCUCCUGAAGUUUGAUGCUGAUCUUCCUGAGCAGGUUUCAUUUGUUGACUGGAAAUUCAAUAGAACAGUCACUUUAGUAAGAUUUGCUGCUAGUGGAGAAGCAUUUGUCUUAACAGGGUCUGUAGACGCUCCGCAGGGAAGGUUUGAGUUUCCUGAGAAAAGAUUCUUUUUGAUAUUGAUGAAUCUACAAGAGGCCGACAGUGGGGUUUAUUCUGCUGUAGCAGCAACGCUUCAAGGGGACAAAGCACUAGUUGAAUACCAGGUCACAGUCCAAGGACCAGUGUCUCCAGUUGAACUGACUGACGUGGACCGAGUGGACUCCAACAGCUCAGUCACCUUUUAAACCCUUGAUGAUGUUCCACUGACUCCCAGCUGGUGGCAGCAACACACCAGGAGAAGAAAAGAGGCAGACGACCACAAAGCAGCAAAACAUGGACGCAAACAAUUUAGAAUUUAAAGUAUUAACAAAUUCAGCUUUGCAGAUAUUUCCUGGUGAAGUUGAUUAUACACAAUAUAUCAUACACACAAGACCAUUUAAAUAUAUGUUUUAAUUUUUCUCAUUUUGGUGGAUGUCAUCUUGAAGAAAAUGACAAAUAAAUCUGCUUAUGUAUAAUCAAGACUAACUAUAUCUAAGUAAUUAACCUUAAGUACAAUCAUAAAAAAAUAUACUUUGCAUCCUUGUCUGCUUGCAUGUAUGGUAUUUACUUGUACACAAUUCUGUUCAGCAGGUUUUGUUUUGUGUGGAAACUUAGAACUUGUUAAAGCUUCAUACUUAUCUUGCGUUUCAGUGAUUAAAAGGUCACGUGUUCCUCUCUGGUGUACUGUCAGUUUUUACCAAAGAAUCAAUAUGUGCUGUUAUUAUAGUAAAGACACUUGAUAUAAAAUACAAAAUAUAUAAUGGAAAAUAUAUUUUUUAAAUUCUCUAUUACAGUUGAAAAAUAUUUUAUUCAUUUUUUUGUCUAAAAAAUAAAAUGAUAUAACAGAAGCAGCCUGCAUCAUGCAGCUUAAAUCUCACCAAUGAGGUGAGGCCUCAUGAGUCUAAAGUGUAACUGAUCAAAAUGAAGAGUGACAUAAAGGCUCAGACGAGGUACCACAGCUGAGGUUCCGGCCGAGACAACAACAUAUUUCUCACUUUUUCUACAUUGAUCUUAAAUGUAAAAGACACAGCGGACAAUGGCAGAGAUGACAGGACAAGGCAGGAAGUGAAGCUAACCCAGGAACACAAGAGGUAGGAAACUACAAAAUAAAACAGGAAAUAAACCCAAACCGUGACAGAAAGUACGUCACACUGCAG